rnacentral:rRNA from 1 species
CGAGUCGGGGGAGCAAUCAAAAGGUCGGGUAAGAGUGGGAGAGGGUAAGGGAGUAGGGGAGCAGGUUAGGUUAGCUGGACCCGCUUGUCGGGAUGGCUGUCCGCUGUCGCGGCGGCGGCCGCUUAGGGAAGUAGGAGACGGAGCUAGCGAGGGAAAUAGGAGACGGAGCUAGCGAGGGAGGGUACAACGGAGGAACAGGGCGACAAGAUACAGUCGGCUGCUUAAGGAGGUCGCGUACGUGUGCCCUUUCUCUAGUGAACCUCAUCUUGAUGGGCGCAUGUUCUUAACCGUCCUUUCCCCUA